UUGCACGCUGGCGGCCUGCUUUACCCCUGCAAGUCGCACGGCAGCGGGGAGGAGCUUGCUUCUCUGCCGGCGCGUGGCGAACGGGUGAGUAAUACAUCGGAACGUGUCGAGAAGAGGGGGAUAACCACCCGAAAGGGUGGCUAAUACCGCAUAAAUUCUGAGGAAGAAAGCUGGGGACCUAGGAAUAGGCCUAGCGCUUUUUGAGCGGCCGAUGUCGGAUUAGCUAGUUGGUGAGGUAAAGGCUCACCAAGGCGAAGAUCUGUAGCGGGUCUGAGAGGAUGAUCCGCCACACUGGGACUGAGACACGGCCCAGACUCCUACGGGAGGCAGCAGUGGGGAAUUUUGGACAAUGGGGGCAACCCUGAUCCAGCCAUGCCGCGUGUAUGAAGAAGGCCUUAGGGUUGUAAAGUACUUUUGUUAGGGAAGAAAAGUCAGCUGUGAAUAAUGGCUGAUACUGACGGUACCUAAAGAAUAAGCACCGGCUAACUACGUG
rnacentral:rRNA from 1 species